rnacentral:rRNA from 1 species
UUGAACGCCGGCGGCAGGCCUAACACAUGCAAGUCGAGCGCGAAAGAUCUUCGGAAUGAGUAAAGCGGCGGACGGGUGAGUAACGCGUGGGAAUCUGCCUGGUAGUGGGGGACAACGUCCGGAAACGAACGCUAAUACCGCAUACGCCCUACGGGGAAAGGGGGGGAUCUUCGGACCUCUCGCUAUCAGAUGAGCCCGCGUCGGAUUAGCUAGUUGGUGGGGUAAAGGCCUACCAAGGCGACGAUCCGUAACUGGUCUGAGAGGAUGAUCAGUCACACUGGAACUGAGACACGGUCCAGACUCCUACGGGAGGCAGCAGUGGGGAAUAUUGGACAAUGGGGGAAACCCUGAUCCAGCCAUGCCGCGUGUGUGAAGAAGGCCUUAGGGUUGUAAAGCACUUUCAGUGGGGAGAAAGGUUGUUUACUUAAUACGUAAGCAAAUUGAUGUUACCCACAGAAGAAGCACCGGCUAACUCCGUGCCAGCCGCCGCGGUAA